UCUUGCACAAUGGGCGAAAGCCUGAUGCAGCAACGCCGCGUGAGCGAAGAAGGCCUUUGGGUCGUAAAGCUCUGUCCUAAGGGAAGAANGAAGUGACGGUACCUUAGGAGGAAGCCCCGGCUAACUACGUGCCAGCAGCUGCGGUAAUACGUAGGGGGCAAGCGUUAUCCGGAAUUAUUGGGCGUAAAGAGUACGUAGGCGGUUCUUUAAGCGUAGGGUCUAAGGCGAUGGCUUAACCAUCGUUCGCCCUGUGAACUGGAGGACUUGAGUAUCGGAGAGGAAAGCGGAAUUCCUAGUGUAGCGGUGAAAUGCGUAGAUACUAGGAGGAACACCAGUGGCGAAGGCGGCUUUCUGGACGAAGACUGACGCUGAGGUACGAAAGCGUGGGGAGCAAACAG
rnacentral:rRNA from 1 species